CGGGUGCACUGAUCCAGCCGGGCCUUUCCCUCUGUGGAACCCCAUGGCCUUCACUGGCUGUGGUGGGGAAACAGGACUUUUACUUUGAAAAAAUUAGAGUGCUCCAGGCAGGCCUAUGCUCGAAUACAUUAGCAUGGAAUAAUAGAAUAGGACGUGUGGUUCUAUUUUGUUGGUUUCUAGGACCGCCGUAAUGAUUAAUAGGGACAGUCGGGGGCAUCAGUAUUCAAUUGUCAGAGGUGAAAUUCUUGGAUCUAUUGAAGACUAACUACUGCGAAAGCAUUUGCCGAGGAUGUUUUCAUUGAUAAGGAACGAAAGUUAGGGGAUCGAAGACGAUCAGAUACCGUCGUAGUCUUAACUAUAAACUAUGCCGACUAGGGAUCGGACGAUGUUAUUCUUUGACGCGUUCGGCACCUUUCGAGAAAUCAAAGUGCUUGGGCUCCAGGGGGAGUAUGGUCGCAAGGCUGAAACUUAAAGAAAUUGACGGAAGGGCACCACCAGGGGUGGAACCUGCGGCUUAAUUUGACUCAACACGGGGAAACUCACCAGGUCCAGACACAGUGAGGAUUGACAGAUUGAGAGCUCUUUCUUGAUUCUGUGGGUGGUGGUGCAUGGCCGUUCUUAGUUGGUGGAGUGAUUUGUCUGCUUAAUUGCGAUAACGAACGAGACCUUAACCUGCUAAAUAGCCCGUACUGCUUUGGCAGUUCGCCGGCUUCUUAGAGGGACUAUCGG
rnacentral:rRNA from 1 species